rnacentral:rRNA from 1 species
CCUACGGGGUGCAGCAGUGGGGGAUAUUGCACAAUGGGGGGAACCCUGAUGCAGCGACGCCGCGUGAGCGAAGAAGUACCUCGGUAUGUAAAGCUUUAUCAGUAGGGAAGAAAAUGACGGUACCUGACUAAGAAGCCCCGGCUAAAUACGUGCCAGCAGCCGCGGCAACACGUAGGGGGCAAGCGUUAUCCGGAUUUACGGGGGGUAAUGGGAGUUCAGGCGGCCUGCUAAGGCUGGUGGGAAAACCCGGGGCCCAACCCCGGGCCUGCAUUGGAAACUGGCGGGCUGGAGUGUCGGAGGGGCAGGCGGAAUGCCUGGUGUAGCGGUGAAAUGCGUAGAUAUUAGGAAGAACACCGAUGGCGAAGGCAGCCUACUGGACGCUGACUGACGCUGAGGCUCGAAAGCGUGGGUAGCAAACAGGAUUAGAUACCCUAGUAGUC